rnacentral:snoRNA from 1 species
GAGCAGUGAUGAAAAGGUUUUACUGCAGACCUUUAUAACUGAAAAUUUCUACACUUGAUCUGAGCUCA